UGAGGAAUAUUGGUCAAUGGGCGCAAGCCUGAACCAGCCAUGCCGCGUGCAGGAUGAAGGUCCUAUGGAUUGUAAACUGCUUUUGUACGGGAAGAAACCCUGGAACGUGUUCCAGAUUGACGGUACCGUAAGAAUAAGGAUCGGCUAACUCCGUGCCGGCAGCCGCGGUAAUACGGAGGAUCCGAGCGUUAUCCGGAAUCAUUGGGUUUAAAGGGUCCGUAGGCGGCCUAGUAAGUCAGUGGUGAAAUCUCACGGCUCAACCGUGAAAUGGCCAUUGAUACUGCGGGGCUUGAAUUGUUGGGAAGUAACUAGAAUAUGUAGUGUAGCGGUGAAAUGCUUAGAUAUUACAUGGAAUACCGAUUGCGAAGGCAGGUUACUACCAAUACAUUGACGCUGAUGGACGAAAGCGUGGGGAGCGAACAGGAUUAGAUACCCUGGUAGUCCACGCCGUAAACGAUGGAUACUAGCUGUUGGGCCGCAAGGUUCAGUGGCUAAGCGAAAGUGAUAAGUAUCCC
rnacentral:rRNA from 1 species